AAAAUCCCCAAGCAGCAUCCAAAUGCCAUGAAAGUGAUUCAGAAAUAUUUGAAUGAACACAACCUACGACUCUGGGACUUUUUUAGGAAAAUUGACAAGGAUGGAAACAUGAAGAUCCCUGUGUCAGCCUUCCGGAGAGCCAUGAUGCAGCAAUCAAACAUCCAACUGGAUCGGGUCCAAAUUGCGGAACUAGUGCGAAAACUAGACCAGAAUCAGACAGGGAUUGUGGACUACAGUCACUUGAAAGAGCAGAAGUCAGCACAGAAACCUGUGAAAGAGGAAAUGGAGGAGAAGGUGUAAAAAUGAAGUGAGAAGGCAGGUGAGCCAGUGAAAUAUAGUAGGAGAAACACUGGAAGAAAGUUCAGAGCGGCCCUGGGCUUGGGGGGAUCCGAGAGAAUCCAAGUGAUCACAUGUAGAAAUAAAGUUGAUGUUCCCCUGCAAGGCAAGUCUGGUGGUUUUGGUCAAGAGCCGGAGCCAGUUACCAAACCUAUCUCAC
ensembl:lncRNA